AACGAACGCUGGCGGCAUGCCUAACACAUGCAAGUCGAACGAGACCUUCGGGUCUAGUUGCGCACGGGUGCGUAACGCGUGGGAAUCUGCCCUUGGGUUCGGAAUAACAGUUGGAAACGACUGCUAAUACCGGAUGAUGACGUAAGUCCAAAGAUUUAUCGCCCAGGGAUGAGCCCGCGUAGGAUUAGCUAGUUGGUGGGGUAAAGGCCUACCAAGGCGACGAUCCUUAGCUGGUCUGAGAGGAUGAUCAGCCACACUGGGACUGAGACACGGCCCAGACUCCUACGGGAGGGAGGAGUGGGGAAUAUUGGACAAUGGGCGAAAGCCUGAUCCAGCAAUGCCGCGUGAGUGAUGAAGGCCUUAGGGUUGUAAAGCUCUUUUACCCGGGAUGAUAAUGACAGUACCGGGAGAAUAGGCCCCGGCUAACUCCGUG
rnacentral:rRNA from 1 species